rnacentral:rRNA from 1 species
GACGAACGCUGGCGGCGUGCCUAAUACAUGCAAGUCGAGCGAGCGGAACUAACAGAUUUACUUCGGUAAUGACGUUAGGAAAGCGAGCGGCGGAUGGGUGAGUAACACGUGGGGAACCUGCCCCAUAGUCUGGGAUACCACUUGGAAACAGGUGCUAAUACCGGAUAAGAAAGCAGAUCGCAUGAUCAGCUUUUAAAAGGCGGCGUAAGCUGUCGCUAUGGGAUGGCCCCGCGGUGCAUUAGCUAGUUGGUAAGGUAAAGGCUUACCAAGGCGAUGAUGCAUAGCCGAGUUGAGAGACUGAUCGGCCACAUUGGGACUGAGACACGGACCAAACUCCUACGGGAGGCAGCAGUAGGGAAUCUUCCACAAUGGACGCAAGUCUGAUGGAGCAACGCCGCGUGAGUGAAGAAGGUUUUCGGAUCGUAAAGCUCUGUUGUUGGUGAAGAAGGAUAGAGGUAGUAACUGGCCUUUAUUUGACGGUAAUCAACCAGAAAGUCACGGCUAACUACGUG